rnacentral:ncRNA from 1 species
AUAUACUUAGAACAUGUACAGACAAGGGGAAGCUGAAUGUUUUUGCAAUGUGAUUUCUACCUAGUGCUCUAAAUAUCAAAGUGAAGAAAUUCAACCAAGGACAGGUAAAUGGCAUGAGUAACUAUGACUCUCUUAAGGUAUCCAAAUGCCUCAUCAUCUAAUUAGUGGCACACCUGAAUGGAUUAAUGAGAUUCUCACUAUCCCUAUCUACUAUCUAGAGAAACCACAACUAAGGGAAAGGGCUUGGAAAAAUCAACGGGGAAAGAAGUCCUUGUUGAUCUUGACUCUAGUUUGACUUUGUGAAAUGACUUGAGAGUUGUAGAAUAAGUUGGAGUUGUUUUCAGUGCAAGUGAAAUACCACUACUUUUAAUGUUAUUUUACUUAUUCUAUGGGGUGGAGACGGGGCAUUACCCAUGUUUUUGGCCUUAAGACAUGUUUUGGUGGGUCGAUCCAGGCAUAAGACAUUUUUAGGUGGGGAUUUUGGAUUGGGAGGCACAUCUGUUAAAAUAUAACACAUGUUUCCUAAGAUGACCUCAACCAUAACAAAAAUAUCAUGUGGAACAAAAGGGUAAAACCUCUUUUGAUUUUGAUUUUUAGUACAAAUACAAAUCGUGAAAGCAUGGCCUAUUAUGAAAAUGAAGUUAUUUUGGCCUUAGAUGGUGGUGCAUGUUUUCUCAAUGCGUAGCUUCACUUGUAAUGCUACUUGAAUUAAUGCAUAGAUUCACUUGUAAUGAAUAGAAAGAAGCACAAGAACUUCCUUCUACAUGCCUAUAAGUUUAGAUUCUCCUACACAUUCCAUCAUUUGCCACCAACCUCUU